rnacentral:rRNA from 1 species
UACGGAGGGGGCAAGCGUUGUUCGGAAUUAUUGGGCGUAAAGGGCAUGUAGGCGGUUCGGUAAGUUAAAGGUGAAAUGCCAGGGCUUAACCCUGGAGCUGCUUUUAAUACUGCCAGACUCGAGUCCGGGAGAGGAUAGCGGAAUUCCUAGUGUAGAGGUGAAAUUCGUAGAUAUUAGGAGGAACACCAGUGGCGAAGGCGGCUGUCUGGUCCGGUACUGACGCUGAGGUGCGAAAGCG